rnacentral:lncRNA from 1 species
UCUAUUUUCUUUAUUUGGGCCGCAGCCGUACCCGCCUGAUCUGUCAUGUGCAUUUUCAAUGAGGCUCCCUGAGGUUCUUACAGUGAUGAAUAAAGGAAUCUGCACAUUUGUACUACACAGUCUUCACUGAUUUAAUGAGAGCCAUGCCAGUGGUACUAAAUCAAGCCUAUCAUUUCCAAAAGGCUUUGAUUUUCAGGCAUUAAUACCAAUUACCAUGUUGUUGUUGACAAGACAAUGAGAUAUCCAGGAUAACAUUGGUCACAAUUAUAUUUACUGAAAGGAGAGGACUAAUGUGGACCCCGGUAUAGUAUUAGCUUUUUUUUUAAAGGAGAAGAUUUUUCUGGAGGGGAAAAAAAAAAAAAAAAACUGAAGGAAAAAAACCUUUUAGCUUCCAAUGAAAAUGGAACAUAUCUGUACUUUGAUUUUUCAUUUCAUUCAAACCAGACUUGGUAGAACUCAGCAGGGUGGUGCCAGGGACAUUCUCCAAUUUCCUGGUCUUGUUCUACAGCAGCAUAUUAAGCUUUUGGAAACAUCAAUCAGGAGACAGAAAAUUGAUUUUUCAGCUUUUGAGAUGGAGGACACGGAUGGACAGAAAUGUGUAACAUCAUGAGAGAACAUCAGUUUUGGAGUUAGCCCUGCAAUUCUUGGACGAGUAACUGAAUGGAAUGUAUCAUCUUGAGUUAGGGAGAAACUGCCCUGGAUAGUCCAAGCUUUGUUCCUGUCUCCUGUGGAAGUGGGAUAUCCAUCAAAGCUUUCCCCAGUGAGUCAUGUUGCUCCUGAGGAGUAGAAGGCAAGGUGAGCUGUCCUAUGGGGUCCCUCAGUUGUGGUGCAACUGGAGCAUGUACAACCAAGACUUCAUCUUCCCCAGACAGCUUCCUUGAGCCUCAGGGGUCUGGCUCACAACGGAUCCUAGGCUUCUUUUGUCCUGCUGCCUAUCUGUAAAUAAUAAAUCCACUUCUGAAAACUUGUGUGUGAGUGUGCUCUGUCUCACAGAACUCAGAUAAGUUGGUAACCAGUAUGCAGUGAACCUGCUGCAAAAU